rnacentral:lncRNA from 1 species
GUGGAGGAGAAGCCGCCUGAAGCGCCACCGGUGACCAGUGUGGAGGAGAAAGCUGAGACCAUCCUGGAUCUCCCAGAGGAGCCUUCUGUCCCAACUGUAGAACCUGAACAGCCAUGCACUCAGCAGCUAGAACUGGCUGGAGCAGCCCCAGCUGGAGAUGCUGUUUUCUCAAUGGUUGAACAUCCCUCUCUCUCAGUUCCUGCUGGUCCACAUUCGGAGUCUUCCACAAACAUUAUAAAAUGAAAUCUGAGGAGCUGAUGACAGCUAUUAUGUCUCCUGUGAGGAUUAGAAGAGCCAUCAAGUUCAGGAGAACCAGAAGUCCCUCAGUCCCUGGAAAAUGACUACUUGACACAGGAGUUGUAUGGCUCUUUCUAACUGGGAAGCUGGAGCACAAUCCUUGUUCCUGUUCAGCAUGAAACACUGUUAGAUUGCAAGCUACCUGGUAUUUUUUGUGUGAGCGAGCAAUAAAAGCCUGUGGCCUUUGCUGUUAUCUCUCUCC